rnacentral:rRNA from 1 species
UCUUUUCCUUUUUUUCCCUCAGCCUCGGUAAUACGUAUGGUGCAAGCGUUAUCCGGAUUUACUGGGUGUAAAGGGUGAGUAGGCGGUCAUGCAAGUCAUAUGUGAAAUGUCAGGGCUUAACCUUGGCGCUGCAUAAGAAACUGUAUGACUAGAGUGCAGGAGAGGUAAGCGGAAUUCCUAGUGUAGCGGUGAAAUGCGUAGAUAUUAGGAAGAACACCGGUGGCGAAGGCGGCUUACUGGACUGUUACUGACGCUGAGUCACGAAAGCGUGGGGAGCAAACAGG